AAGUCGUAACAAGGUAACCGUAGGUGAACCUGCGGUUGGAUCAUUAAUUAUAUCCGGUAGGGGGAGUGCCAUGCUUUCCAGCUGUGCGCCCCUGGCCUUUAACAUUAUGUGAACCGAACUGUCUCUGGCGGAGGGGUAGUAAUUAAAACCUACUACUUGUCAGUAAAUGCUUGCGCAUUUGCCGUGGACACUCCGUCAACAGGUCUUACACCUUUGCUUUCUUUUGAUGUCUGACAUAAACUGUAUAAAUAUACAAAACAACUUUUGGCAACGGAUCUCUUGGCUCUC
rnacentral:misc_RNA from 1 species